rnacentral:rRNA from 1 species
GGCUAAGGGGGCUAGCGGAUGGAAGUGCUAGUCUAAGGUCGUAGGAGGUUAUACAGGCAAAUCCGUAUAACAAUACUCCGAGAACUGAAAGGCUUUUUGAAGUCUUCGGAUGGAUAGAAGAACCCCUGAUGCCGUCGAGCCAAGAAAAGUUUCUAAGUUUAGCUAAUGUUGCCCGUACCGUAAACCGACACAGGUGGGUGGGAUGAGUAUUCUAAGGCGCGUGGAAGAACUCUCUUUAAGGAACUCUGCAAAAUAGCACCGUAUCUUCGGUAUAAGGUGUGGUUAGCUUUGUAUUAGGAUUUACUCCGAAAGCAAGGAAACUUACAACAAAGAGUCCCUCCCGACUGUUUACCAAAAACACAGCACUCUGCUAACUCGUAAGAGGAUGUAUAGGGUGUGACGCCUGCCCGGUGCUCGAAGGUUAAUUGAUGGGGUUAGCAUUAGCGAAGCUCUUGAUCGAAGCCCGAGUAAACGGCGGCCGUAACUAUAACGGUCCUAAGGUAGCGAAAUUCCUUGUCGGUUAAAUACCGACCUGCAUGAAUGGCGUAACGAGAUGGGAGCUGUCUCAAAGAGGGAUCCAGUGAAAUUGUAGUGGAGGUGAAAAUUCCUCCUACCCGCGGCAAGACGGAAAGACCCCGUGGACCUUUACUACAGCUUGACACUGCUACUUGGAUAAGAAUGUGCAGGAUAGGUGGGAGGCUUUGAGUAUAUGACGCCAGUUGUAUAUGAGCCAUUGUUGAGAUACCACUCUUUCUUAUUUGGGUAGCUAACCAGCUUGAGUUAUCCUCAAGUGGGACAAUGUCUGGUGGGUAGUUUGACUGGGGCGGUCGCCUCCCAAAUAAUAACGGAGGCUUACAAAGGUUGGCUCAGAACGGUUGGAAAUCGUUCGUAGAGUAUAAAGGUAUAAGCCAGCUUAACUGCAAGACAUACAAGUCAAGCAGAGACGAAAGUCGGUCUUAGUGAUCCGGUGGUUCUGUGUGGAAGGGCCAUCGCUCAAAGGAUAAAAGGUACCCCGGGGAUAACAGGCUGAUCUCCCCCAAGAGCUCACAUCGACGGGGAGGUUUGGCACCUCGAUGUCGGCUCAUCGCAUCCUGGGGCUGGAGCAGGUCCCAAGGGUAUGGCUGUUCGCCAUUUAAAGCGGUACGCGAGCUGGGUUCAGAACGUCGUGAGACAGUUCGGUCCCUAUCUGCCGUGGGCGUAAGAAGAUUGAAGAGAUUUGACCCUAGUACGAGAGGACCGGGUUGAACAAACCACUGGUGUAGCUGUUGUUCUGCCAAGAGCAUCGCAGCGUAGCUAAGUUUGGAAAGGAUAAACGCUGAAAGCAUCUAAGCGUGAAGCCAACUCUAAGAUGAAUCUUCUCUAAGCUCUCUAGAAGACUACUAGUUUGAUAGGCUGGGUGUGUAAUGGAUGAAAGUCCUUUAGCUGACCAGUACUAAUAGAGCGUUUGGCUUAUCUUUAAUAAAGCAU